UUUAACUCCAUCCGUAGGAGUAGCCUUGGAUGGCAGUGGGAGGGCUCAGAGCCAGCGUCCUGGAAUCAUCUCAUGGUGCGUGGAGUGGUGGGGGUGGUGGGGGUGCUAGUCUCACUAUACCUAUGUGGGUUUUGGAAAGGUAGAGGGAAAGUGUUUGCCUACCCGCGACUCGUCUUCAGCAAGCUGCUGACUCAUCCCUCCUGGCAGCCUGGAAGUCUGCAGGAUUCACAGGAAUCUGAGCUCCCCGCAGUGUGUGACAGGGACGGGGACUAGGCCCAGGGAAUUAGAAACAGGAAUCGAGACCCAGCCCUGGAGAAUGGGGAAGGAGACCUGCUCAUGGAGGACAGACGCUUGACCCAGGAACCCAGAGGAAGGGAUCCAUUAGGUGGGGACACGGGUGUGGCCCAGGAAACUGGAGUAGCAUUGCCAAUCCUCCAGGAUGACGGGGAGUCUGCAGGAAUUAAAGAUUAAUUUUUAAUUAAA